GACAGAGGGUGCAAACGUUGUUCGGAAUUACUGGGCGUAAAGCGCGUGUAGGCUGCUUCGCAAGUCGGGUGUGAAAGCCCUGGGCUCAACCUAGGAAGUGCACUCGAAACUGCGAAGCUUGAGUCCUGGAGAGGAAGGCGGAAUUCUCGGUGUAGAGGUGAAAUUCGUAGAUAUCGAGAGGAACACCGGUGGCGAAGGCGGCCUUCUGGACAGGUCCUGACGCUGAGGCACGAAAGCUAGGGGAGCAAACAGG
rnacentral:rRNA from 1 species